GGGGGCGUAGCUCAAUGGUUAGAGUGCCAGCCUGUCACGCUGGAUGUUGCGGGUUCGAGUCCCGUCGCUCCCGCCA
rnacentral:tRNA from 1 species